GACGAACGCUGGCGGCGUGCUUAACACAUGCAAGUCGAACGGAAAGGCCCUGCUUUUGUGGGGUGCUCGAGUGGCGAACGGGUGAGUAACACGUGAGUAACCUGCCCUUGACUUUGGGAUAACUUCAGGAAACUGGGGCUAAUACCGGAUAGGAGCUCCUGCUGCAUGGUGGGGGUUGGAAAGUUUCGGCGGUUGGGGAUGGACUCGCGGCUUAUCAGCUUGUUGGUGGGGUAGUGGCUUACCAAGGCUUUGACGGGUAGCCGGCCUGAGAGGGUGACCGGCCACAUUGGGACUGAGAUACGGCCCAGACUCCUACGGGAGGCAGCAGUGGGGAAUAUUGCACAAUGGGCGGAAGCCUGAUGCAGCAACGCCGCGUGCGGGAUGACGGCCUUCGGGUUGUAAACCGCUUUCGCCUGUGACGAAGCGUGAGUGACGGUAAUGGGUAAAGAAGCACCGGCUAACUACGUGCCAGCAGCCGCGGUGAUACGUAGGGUGCGAGCGUUGUCCGGAUUUAUUGGGCGUAAAGGGCUCGUAGGUGGUUGAUCGCGUCGGAAGUGUAAUCUUGGGGCUUAACCCCUGAGCGUGCUUUCGAUACGGGUUGACUUGAGGAAGGUAGGGGAGAAUGGAAUUCCUGGUGGAGCGGUGGAAUGCGCAGAUAUCAGGAGGAACACCAGUGGCGAAGGCGGUUCUCUGGGCCUUUCCUGACGCUGAGGAGCGAAAGCGUGGGGAGCGAACAGGCUUAGAUACCCUGGUAGUCCACGCUGUAAACGGUGGGUACUAGGUGUGGGGUCCAUUCCACGGGUUCCGUGCCGUAGCUAACGCUUUAAGUACCCCGCCUGGGGAGUACGGCCGCAAGGCUAAAACUCAAAGGAAUUGACGGGGCCCCGCACAAGCGGCGGAGCAUGCGGAUUAAUUCGAUGCAACGCGUAGAACCUUACCUGGGUUUGACAUGGAUCGGGAGUGCUCAGAGAUGGGUGUGCCUCCUUUGGGGUCGGUUCACAGGUGGUGCAUGGCUGUCGUCAGCCCGUGUCGUGAGAUGUUGGGUUAAGUCCCGCAACGAGCGCAACCCUUGUUCACUGUUGCCAGCACGUUAUGGUGGGGACUCAGUGGAGACCGCCGGGGUCAACUCGGAGGAAGGUGGGGAUGACGUCAAGUCAUCAUGCCCCUUAUGUCCAGGGCUUCACGCAUGCUACAAUGGCUGGUACAGAGAGUGGCGAGCCUGUGAGGGUGAGCGAAUCUCGGAAAGCCGGUCUCAGUUCGGAUUGGGGUCUGCAACUCGACCUCAUGAAGUCGGAGUCGCUAGUAAUCGCAGAUCAGCAACGCUGCGGUGAAUACGUUCCCGGGGCU
rnacentral:rRNA from 1 species